rnacentral:rRNA from 1 species
AGAACGAACGCUGGCGGCAGGCUUAACACAUGCAAGUCGAACGGUUGUAGCAAUACAGCAGUGGCAGACGGGUGAGUAACACGUGGGAACCUUCCUAGGGGUACGGAACAACUCAGGGAAACUUGAGCUAAUACCGUAUACGUCCGUGAGGAGAAAGAUUUAUCGCCCCUAGACGGGCCCGCGUAGGAUUAGGUAGUUGGUGAGGUAACGGCUCACCAAGCCUACGAUCCUUAGCUGAUCUGAGAGGAUGAUCAGCCACACUGGGACUGAGACACGGCCCAGACUCCUACGGGAGGCAGCAGUGGGGAAUCUUGGACAAUGGGCGCAAGCCUGAUCCAGCCAUGCCGCGUGAGUGAAGAAGGCCUUCGAGUUGUAAAGCUCUUUUACCAGGGACGAUAAUGACGGUACCUGGAGAAUAAGCCCGGCAACUUCGUGCCAGCAGCCGC